GUGGGGAAUCUUGCGCAAUGGGCGAAAGCCUGACGCAGCGACGCCGCGUGGGCGAAGAAGGCCUUCGGGUUGUAAAGCCCUGUUGGUGGGAAAGAAGACUGACGGUACCCACUGAGGAAGCCCCGGCUAACUCCGUGCCAGCAGCCGCGGUAAGACGGAGGGGGCAAGCGUUGUCCGGAAUUACUGGGCGUAAAGGGCGCGUAGGCGGCUUGUUAAGUCGGUUGUGAAAGCCUCGGGCUCAACCCGGGGAGGCCAGCCGAUACUGGCGGGCUUGAGGGCAGGAGAGGGAAGUGGAACUGCCGGUGUAGCGGUGGAAUGCGUAGAUAUCGGCAGGAACACCCGCGGCGAAGGCGGCUUCCUGGACUGCUCCUGACGCUGAGGCGCGAAAGCCAGGGGAGCGAACGGGAUUAGAAACCCUUGUAGUCC
rnacentral:rRNA from 1 species